UCUGCUUCCCGGCACUCUGUGGUGCUGGCGCAGCUCAAGCUACUGGAGCCCCUGUGUGAUCCUACCGGCUACGGAGCUGCCACAGGGGAUUUGUCUGCUGGGAUGGUACAGCUGCUGCUGCUGCUUCCCCUGGUGCACAGCCAGUGUUUCAGUGUCUGUAUUUUACACUGCACCUGGGUUGUCAUGGUGAAGGGACUCCUUGGCAUACCUUGUGCAGCGAUGAUGUCAUCUUUGGGCGCCACGGCCGGGUAGCGGGAAUCGGCCAGCGUGUAUUCACAAGCACAGUGGUGGGUAUAUAAGGAGAACCUGCAACUUGUGUGGAUGGAGGACAGAAAACCUCUUGGUAUUUUUACAUAUUCUUAUGGGAAAAAACUAUGUAAACAGAAAAUGUUGCAAAUGGCAGACUUUCAUCAAAAUGCAAGUACGGGCGAGCACAACGGCAAGCUGCUGCAGGAAGACCAGACCAAUCCCCUUCUCAGCCCCCCUCCCCUUCUGUCGCCCAACCCCCCUCUCCUUCCCAAUCCCCUUCUCAGCCCCCCUCCCCUUCUGUCGCCCAAUCCCCCUCUCCUUCCCAAUCCCAUUCUCAGCCCCCCUCCCCUUCUGUCACCCAAUCCCCCUCUCCUUCCCAAUCCCCUUCUCAGCCCCCCUCCCCUCUCUUUACCAAUACCCCUCUCUGUCCCCCUCCCCUUACCAAUACCCCUCUCUGUCCCCCUCCCCCUCUGUAAGCCAAACCACCACUCCGCCCACCUCCCCCACUCUUUCCCAUUCCCCCUCUCUGGCCCCCUCCCACUCUGUGGCCCAAACACCCUCUCCGCCCCCCUCCCGUCUCAAUCAGACCCACCCUCUGUAAACAGCUCCCUAUUCCAUCGUCCUUCCCCAAUCCCUCCUCCUUCCCCAAUCCCUCCUCCUUCCCCCAUCCAGCCUCCUUCCCCACCCAGUGAAUGGGCAGCAGAAGCUCCUGAGGCUGUUGAGGGUGCUGCGCAUGUGGCUGAUGAGAAUGGUGCAGUUGGAGAUCCCACAAGCCUGCCUGGCAUCAUUGCAAGCCUAAAGGCGAAUUUGCAGGCCAUGCUUGCAGAUGUUGAGAGGCUGGAAAAAUAUUUCUAAUUUGUUAAUUUUAAACUUUUAAAAUAUUUGUUCUUUGUUAUAAAAAAAACACACAAAAAAAUAUGUUCAAAAAUAAAAAAUUGUUUAUUACAGUUAA